rnacentral:rRNA from 1 species
UAAGGAAUAUUGGACAAUGGAGGCAACUCUGAUCCAGCCAUGCCGCGUGAAGGAAUAAGGCCCUAUGGGUUGUAAACUUCUUUUAGACGGGACAAAACCCCUUUACGUGUAAAGGGUUGAUGGUACUGUCAGAAUAAGCAUCGGCUAACUUCGUGCCAGCAGCCGCGGUAAUACGAAGGAUGCAAGCGUUAUCCGAAUUAUUGGGUUUAAAGGGUGCGUAGGCGGACUAAUAAGUCAGUGGUGAAAGCCUGCAGCUUAACUGCAGAAUUGCCAUUGAUACUGUUAGUCUUGAGUACAGUUGAGGUAGGCGGAAUGUGUCAUGUAGCGGUGAAAUGCUUAGAUAUGACACAGAACACCGAUUUCGAAGGCAGCUUGCUAAGCUGUAACUGACGCUGAGGCACGAAAGCGUGGGGAGCAAACA